rnacentral:rRNA from 1 species
AUUGAACGCUGGCGGCAUGCCUUACACAUGCAAGUCGAACGGCAGCGCGGGAGCAAUCCUGGCGGCGAGUGGCGAACGGGUGAGUAAUAUAUCGGAACGUGCCCAGUAGUGGGGGAUAGCCCGGCGAAAGCCGGAUUAAUACCGCAUGAGACCUGAGGGUGAAAGCGGGGGAUCGCAAGACCUCGCGCUAUUGGAGCGGCCGAUAUCAGAUUAGCUAGUUGGUGGGGUAAAGGCCUACCAAGGCAACGAUCGAUAGCUGGUCUGAGAGGAUGAUCAGCCACACUGGAACUGAGACACGGUCCAGACUCCUACGGGAGGCAGCAGUAGGGAAUAUUGGACAAUGGGGGCAACCCUGAUCCAGCCAUGCCGCGUGAGUGAAGAAGGCCCUCGGGUUGUAAAGCUCUUUUGUCCGGAAAGAAAAGCAUCUGGUUAAUACCCGGGUGUUCUGACGGUACCGGAGGAAUAAGCACCGGCUAACUUCGUGCCAGCAGCC